GUGGGGAAUAUUGGACAAUGGGCGAAAGCCUGAUCCAGCCAUGCCGCGUGUGUGAAGAAGGUCUUCGGAUUGUAAAGCACUUUAAGUUGGGAGGAAGGGCAGUAAGUUAAUACCUUGCUGUUUUGACGUUACCGACAGAAUAAGCACCGGCUAACUUCGUGCCAGCAGCCGCGGUAAUACGACGGGUGGAAGCGUUAAUCGGAAUUACUGGGCGUAAAGCGCGCGUAGGUGGUUUUGUAAGUUGGAUGUGAAAUCCCCGGGCUCAACCUGGGAACUGCGUCCAAAACUGCAUGACUAGAGUACGGUAGAGGGUAGUGGAAUUUCCUGUGUAGCGGUGAAAUGCGUAGAUAUAGGAAAGAACACCAGUGGCGAAGGCGACUACCUGGACUGAUACUGACGCUGAGGUGCGAAAGCGUGGGGAGCAAACAGGAUUAGAAACCCCAGUAGUCC
rnacentral:rRNA from 1 species